rnacentral:miRNA from 1 species
GGAAAUAGUUUUGUUUUCCCUCGAAUCUCAAUGUUUCCCUCGACUUCAUCUAGGGAAACAUUGAGAUUCUUGGGAAAACAAAACUAUUUCCCUCGGGU